rnacentral:rRNA from 1 species
GAUGAACGCUGGCGGCGUGCCUAAUACAUGCAAGUCGAGCGAAUGGAUUAAGAGCUUGCUCUUAUGAAGUUAGCGGCGGACGGGUGAGUAACACGUGGGUAACCUGCCCAUAAGACUGGGAUAACUCCGGGAAACCGGGGCUAAUACCGGAUAACAUUUUGAACCGCAUGGUUCGAAAUUGAAAGACGGCUUCGGCUGUCACUUAUCGACGGACCGCGUCGCAUUAGCUAGUUGGUGAGGUAACGGCCCACCAAGGCAACGAUGCGUAGCCGACCUGAGAGGGUGAUCGGCCACACUGGGACUGAGACACGGCCCAGACUCCUACGGGAGGCAGCAGUAGGGAAUCUUCCGCAAUGGACGAAAGUCUGACGGAGCAACGCCGCGUGAGUGAUGAAGGCUUUCGGGUCGUAAAACUCUGUUGUUAGGGAAGAACAAGUGCUAGUUGAAUAAGCUGGCACCUUGACGGUACCUAACCAGAAAGCCACGGCUAACUACGUGCCAGCCGCCGCCGUAA